rnacentral:rRNA from 1 species
AUUGAACGCUGGCGGAAUGCUUUACACAUGCAAGUCGAACGGCAGCACGGGGCAACCUGGUGGCGAGUGGCGAACGGGUGAGUAAUACAUCGGAACGUGCCCAAUCUGGGGGAUAACGUAGCGAAAGUUACGCUAAUACCGCAUACGAUCUACGGAUGAAAGCGGGGGAUCGCAAGACCUCGCGCGAAUGGAGCGGCCGAUGUCAGAUUAGGUAGUUGGGUGGGGUAAAAGGCUCACCAAGCCGACGAUCUGUAGCUGGUCUGAGAGGACGACCAGCCACACUGGGACUGAGACACGGCCCAGACUCCUACGGAGGCAGCAGUGGGAAUUUUGGACAAUGGGCGCAAGCCUGAU